rnacentral:rRNA from 1 species
CAUACGGGGGGCAGCAGUCGGGAAUAUUGCGCAAUGGAGGAAACUCUGACGCAGUGACGCCGCGUGCAGGAAGAAGGUUUUCGGAUUGUAAACUGCUUUAGACAGGGAAGAUACAAGACAGUACCUGUAGAAUAAGCUCCGGCUAACUACGUGCCAGCAGCCGCGGUAAUACGUAGGGAGCAAGCGUUAUCCGGAUUUAUUGGGUGUAAAGGGUGCGUAGACGGGAAAUUAAGUUAGUUGUGAAAUCCCUCGGCUUAACUGAGGAACUGCAACUAAAACUGGUUUUCUUGAGUGCUGGAGAGGAAAGUGGAAUUCCUAGUGUAGCGGUGAAAUGCGUAGAUAUUAGGAGGAACACCAGUGGCGAAGGCGACUUUCUGGACAGUAACUGACGUUGAGGCACGAAAGUGUGGGGAGCAAACAGGAUUAGAUACCCCUGUAGUC